AUACAACUUGCAAACUCUCCUGGAUGCACAUCUCACUGUUUUACUGAACUGGAUAUAUCAACAUCGAACGUUGGGUGAGGAUGGGAGUCAAAAUAGCACAUACACCUUGCACAUUACAUGGGGACAUUGCACUUCUCAAAUGUUCACAUAUGUUCUCAGGAAAACAAAUUCAAAGACACAAUGAGGAACCAACAGGUCUCAGACCAGUGAAACAUCAUCUUAUCUGUGUUCCCUCCCAGUUGCUACAGUGUCACCAUAUUGCACCACAGACAUCAAGAGUGAAAUUCUGCUGGGCGAGGAGU